AGCAGCCGCGGUAAUUCCAGCUCCAAUAGCGUAUAUUAAAGUUGUUGCAGUUAAAAAGCUCGUAGUUGAAUUUCGGGACCAAUAUGUCGGUCGUGCCUCGGUACGUACUGGUGUCAUUGGUUUCUCCCUUCUGAGGAUCCUUGAUGUCAUUAAUUUGGUGUCUUGGGGAAUCAGGACUGUUACCUUGAAAAAAUUAGAGUGUUUAAAGCAGGCAUACGCUUGAAUACAUUAGCAUGGAAUAAUGAAAUAGGACGUUCGAUUCUAUUUUGUUGGUUUCUAGGAUCGACGUAAUGAUUAAUAGGGAUAGUUGGGGGCAUUAGUAUUCAAUUGUCAGAGGUGAAAUUCUUGGAUUUAUUGAAGACUAACUACUGCGAAAGCAUUUGCCAAGGAUGUUUUCAUUAAUCAAGAACGAAAGUUAGGGGAUCGAAGACGAUCAGAUACCGUCGUAGU
rnacentral:rRNA from 1 species